rnacentral:rRNA from 1 species
GAUGAACGCUGGCGGCGUGCCUAAUACAUGCAAGUCGAGCGAACAGACGAGGAGCUUGCUCCUCUGACGUUAGCGGCGGACGGGUGAGUAACACGUGGAUAACCUACCUAUAAGACUGGGAUAACUUCGGGAAACCGGAGCUAAUACCGGAUAAUAUAUUGAACCGCAUGGUUCAAUAGUGAAAGACGGUUUUGCUGUCACUUAUAGAUGGAUCCGCGCCGCAUUAGCUAGUUGGUAAGGUAACGGCUUACCAAGGCAACGAUGCGUAGCCGACCUGAGAGGGGGAUCGGCCACCUGGGAACUAGAAACCGGGCAGGCCCCCUAGGGGGGGCAGCAGGAGGGAAUCUUCCGCAAUGGGGGAAAGCCGGAGGGGGCAACGCCGGGGGGGUGAUGAAGGUUUUCGGAUCUGAAAACCUUUUUAUUAGGGAAAAAAAAAUGUGUAAGUAACUAUGCACGUUUUGACGGUACCAAAUCAAAAAGCCACGGCGAACUACGG